GGCCUAUGGAAGGUGCCCCUACCCUUGAAGAUCAAAAAUUUUGUGUGGUGAUUGUUGAGGGAUCGCCUUCCAUCGGGGACAGAGGUGCUCAAUAGGAAUGGCUCAGGUAAUGGGUUAUGUCCCCUUUGUGGUCUACCAGAGAGAGGGACCCACAUCCUCUUCUCUUGCAUGGUGUCUCGCGCACUUUGGAGUUUCGUCCAAGAGGCACUAUGGCCUGAUUGA
rnacentral:rRNA from 1 species